rnacentral:rRNA from 1 species
UACGGGGGGAGCAAGCGUUGUUCGGAUUUACUGGGCGUAAAGGGCGCGUAGGCGGUUUGUCGCGUCUGCUGUGAAAACCUAAGGCUCAACCUUGGGCUUGCAGUGGGUACGGGCAGACUGGAGUGCGGUAGGGGUGACUGGAAUUCCUGGUGUAGCGGUGGAAUGCGCAGAUAUCAGGAGGAACACCGAUGGCGAAGGCAGCUCACUGGGACGGUACUGACGCUGAGGCGCGAAAGCGUGGGGAGCAAACAGG